rnacentral:lncRNA from 1 species
CCCUCGUCUUCAUCUUCAUCUUCAUCUUCGUCUUCGCCCAGCAACUUCAUUUCAAAGUUUGCAAAAUAGUCCGAAGGUAAUUAUAAUUAUCUUCUUACUGUGCAGUACACGCGUGAAUCAGUUCACACUCGUGCCUGUUACCUGAGCCUGUUAUUGGUCUGAAUCAGUAAUCGGCCUUAAACCCAUCCGGCCCAAGUUAUUUUUGGCUAAAGGUACACAUUCUUUUAUCUUUUUCAUGCAUUUUUUUUUUUGAUAUUUAGUCAAACAAAUUUCUUUUCUAUUUUAGAAAGUUCUAGAAAAAUUUGAGAAUCUCCGCUGAUUUAUUUAUGAGUCCUCACGCUUUGUUAUAUUUUUUUUUCUUGUUUAUUAUUUAUUUCUAUUGUAUACUCAAUCUACAAAAAACCAUUACUCUUCAUCGCAUGCAAUAUUUUUUUUUAUUUUUAUAUAAAACAAGUAAAUAAAAAAAAUUUAAACAAAAAGAGAAAGGCAUAAAAAAAAUUGUUUCUUCUCCAAUUAAAAAUUCAAAUCUUUAAACAAACUUAUCAGAGUCGGGAAUAUUAUUCUCUUUAAGUUUGUAAAAUAUUUAUCAACAUCAAAGUUCAAAAUAUUUAUAGUAAAAAUAUUCACUAAUAUUAGGGUCGGGAAUAUUAUAUAAAAAAAGCCAAAAUUCUAGUAAUUUUAAAAAAAACUAGUAAUGCAAUCACCUUAGAUAAAACUUUUAAGGAAUGAUAGCAUCUUUAUUUUUAUAUAAUUAAUCAUGUAUUAUAGAAUUUUUAUUGAUCGGUUAGGGUUAUUAAUGAUCAUAAUAAUAGGUAUGAUGACUUUUUAAAUAGAAUAUAUUUUUUUAAAAAAAGAUAUCAAAUAUUUAUUUUUUUUCUUUACAAAAUUUUAACAAUAUUAAUUGGAGAGUAAUUAGUUAAACAAUGCAAAUGCUAAGCAGAAGAGGCACAAACUGGAUGAAGCUGACGACAACAAGAGCCAGAUAAGACAGCAAUGGCAUACCAUUGUUAUAUACAUUCUUCUUUGGGUUUAUUUUAUGCAGAUACCACCAUCGGCCGGCACGUUCCUUUUGUGUACUUGUUGGACUGAAGCUUUCACUUUCCUUGCUACGUUUCUUGCAUUUGGAAGCUCUGACUGGCCUAGAACAGGACAAUAUCGCAAGAAAAAGACGUCAAUUAAAAUAUUAAUAUUAAAGAUAAAUUGCACUAAACUUUCUGAAUUACUGCAAAAUAAUAGAGAGAUAACUCAAGAAAUUUAAAAUUCGACAAAAACCGCUGCUCGUUGGAGAAAAUAUCACACAAUUCCUAUUUAAUUUAUAACCAAAAUCACCUUAAUUAAGGCUAUGAGCAUUUUAGGCACAUAAGAAAAUUUCUCGUCUCUGUAAUUUUAAGACACUAAAAUGAUUAUAUAUUAUUUUCUACGAAACCCUUUCAAAUAUAUUUUAUAAUUUUUAAAUUUACAUGAAGUCAUCAUUACUGUUUAAUUUCAUAAGAUUUUCAAAGUCCUAACCCACUUGAUUAUUAAUGUUUUGAUAUUAUAUCACAAAAUCAUUAAAUUAUUGUUUCAGGUUUCAAAAAUAGUUUAUAUAUUACUCUCCAAGAAUCACUAAGUUAGCAAUUUACCAAAAAAAAAAAAACUUAAUACAAUUCCAUUGCAGUUAAUUUUCUAUAUAUACUACUUAAUUACUUGUAGUUAUUUUUCCAGGACCUUUGCUACGAGGUGUGCUAGCACCAACCCCAUUUGCCUCAUUUCUCUUUUUACCUUUUUCGACAAUUGAUUUGGUCGUAGAAAUCUUCUCCUUUUUCAUAGCAUCAGUUGCAUUUAGUAGCUUUGAAUUCCCUCCAUCAAGAUCAUUGUUACAAAGAUCUCAGUUUAAACUUUUAAUUAGUUAAAGAAAUUUAAUUGCAGUUUUUAUUUUUCAAAAUAGAGAACUUACUGGGAAUUUUGGUUUUAGGACCAUUGUUACAAGAUGGUCUGGUAGCGACACCAUUUGCCUCCUUUCUUGUAUUACCUUGUUGGACAGUCAAUCUAGAAGAAGUCGUCUUCUCCUUUUUUGUUGUAUUUCUUGCUUCAAGUACCUUCGAAUUACCUCCGACUGACCAUUUUUACAAGAUGUCAAAUAAAACUACUUAAAUAUAAUUCAAGGGAAGUUAUCUUUCAAAACAUAGCACAACUUACCGGCAGCUGUUUUUCUUAUAAGAUGAUUGUUCCUAGGUUUGCUGGUCCCAACGCGAUUUGCCUGGUCCCCUUUGCUUCCUUGUUGGAGAUGAGGUGAUUGAAUUGCUGAAGUCUUUUCAUUGCUCGUUCCAUUACUUGCGUCUAGUAGGUUUGAAUUGCCUCCA